rnacentral:rRNA from 1 species
UGGGGAAUCUUGCGCAAUGGGCGAAAGCCUGACGCAGCAACGCCGCGUGCGGGAUGAAGGCCUUCGUGGUUGUAAACCGCUUUCAGCAGGGACGAAAAUGACGGUACCUGCAGAAGAAGCCCCGGCUAACUACGUGCCAGCAGCCGCGGUAAUACGUAGGGGGCGAGCGUUGUCCGGAAUCAUUGGGCGUAAAGAGCUCGUAGGCGGUUCAGUAAGUCAGGUGUGAAAGCUCCGAGCUCAACUCGGAGAGGCCACCUGAUACUGCUGUGACUAGAAUCCAGUAGGGGAGUGUGGAACUCCUGGUGUAGCGGUGAAAUGCGCAGAUAUCAGGAAGAACACCAGCGGCGAAGGCGGCACUCUGGGCUGGUAUUGACGCUGAGGAGCGAAAGUGUGGGUAGCAAACAGG